CCUUACUUUCGCUGCGCUUCUCUCUUCCCUCACCCCCCACACUCUCUCUCUCUAGAAAAAACUAUUUCCUUCUCAUCCCUUCCCUCGUUCUGAUCUCUUCCGCUCACUUUCUCUUUAUUUUCCUUCCGUUGAAACCCCUCCGUCUCUCUCUCUCUCUCUCUGUAACCUCCACCGCUUUCUAUCGGUGCUUGACGUUAGCAGCGUUUUCCGGUAGCAGUCUCGCCGGAGUUCUUACGUUGGUGGGCAUGUUAAUAUCAUAACAAGCGGGACUUACAAUUCAACCACAGUUUUCUAUAAGUUAUAAGCAUCUGUAUUGAUUAAAUACAGGAAGUUUAUUUACAAGAGAUGGCGUCAAUAUCUUCUGCAAACCUUUUGGACAUGGCUUCUGAAGAGAUUUUAGAUAUUCUGCAAACUCCUAGAGUUCUUCCUCGGCUGAUGACUGUUCCUGGAAUCAUCUCUGAUGGAAGCAAUGAUGGUGAUUCAGAUGGUACCUCAUCCAUUUGUCGAGAUCGUAAAAUUGUUGUUUCUAAUAUGCUUCCUUUGCAUGCUCAAAGGGAUAAAGGAACUUCAAAAUGGUGCUUUAGUUUGGACAAGGACUCACUUCUUUUACAAUUGAAGGAUGGGUUUUCUCCUGAAACCGAGGUCAUCUAUGUGGGUUGCCUCAAGGCUGAUAUAGAACCCAGCGAGCAAGAGGAAGUUGCACAGAGACUGCUGGACGACUUCAAGUGUGUGCCUACUUUUCUACCCCCAGAUGUCCAGAAAAAAUUUUAUUAUGGUUUCUGUAAGCAAUAUCUGUGGCCUCUUUUCCACUACAUGCUACCAAUGUGCCCAGACCACGGGGAUAGAUAUGAUCGUCAACUGUGGCAGGCUUAUGUAUCUGCUAACAAAUUAUUUGCUGACAAGGUAAUGGAAGUGGUGAAUCCUGAGGAUGACUACAUCUGGGUUCAUGAUUAUCACCUCAUGGUUCUCCCAACUUUUCUGAGGAAGCGAUACCACCGUGUCAAACUUGGGUUCUUUCUCCAUAGCCCAUUUCCUUCUUCGGAAAUAUACCGGACUUUGCCAGUCCGGGAUGAAAUUCUAAAAGGAUUGCUGAACUGUGAUCUGAUUGGAUUUCAUACUUUUGAUUAUGCACGCCAUUUUCUGUCAUGCUGCAGUAGGAUGUUAGGCCUGGACUAUGAAUCUAAACGUGGUCAUAUUGGACUUGAUUACUUUGGCCGUACCGUUUAUAUAAAAAUUUUGCCUGUAGGUAUUCAUAUGGGCAGACUGGAAUCUGUGUUGAAUCAGCCCUCUACAUUUGAUAAGGUCAAAGAAAUUCAAGAACAAUUUAAGGGGAAAAAGGUUAUUCUUGGUGUUGAUGAUAUGGACAUAUUUAAAGGUAUCAGUCUGAAAUUGCUAGCUUUUGAACAGCUAUUGCAACAGCAUCAGGACUUGCAAGGGAAGCUUGUUCUUGUCCAAAUAGUGAAUCCUGCUCGGAGCUCUGGGAAAGAUGUUCAGGAAGCAAAAAGGGAAACAUAUUCAACUGCUAAAAGAAUCAAUGAACUUUAUGGUCACCCUAGCUAUGAGCCUGUGAUUUUGAUUGAUCAUCCUGCUGCUCGCUAUGAGAAGACUGCUUAUUAUGCUGUGGCAGAAUGUUGCAUAGUCAAUGCAGUCAGGGAUGGGAUGAAUUUGGUACCUUAUAAGUACAUCGUCUGUAGGCAGGGCUCUCCUGGUAUGGAUGAGGCAAUGGGUAUAAAGGCUGGUUCUCCUCGAACUAGCAUGCUUGUUGUCUCUGAGUUCAUUGGUUGUUCACCAUCUCUGAGUGGAGCAAUUAGAGUGAAUCCAUGGGACAUUGAAGCUGUAGCUGAGGCUCUAAAUGUGGCCAUUACCAUGUCUGAUUCUGAAAAGCAAUUGAGACAUGAAAAACACUACCGCUAUGUUAGCUCUCAUGAUGUUGCUUAUUGGGCUCGCAGCUUUAUGCAGGAUUUGGAGAGAGCAUGCAAGGAUCAUUAUAGUAAGCGAUGCUGGGGCAUUGGGUUGGGCCUCGGUUUCAGAGUUAUUUCACUUUCUCCAAGUUUUAGAAAGUUAUCCAAUGAUCACAUUGUGUCAUCAUACAAAAGGACAAAUAGAAGGGCAAUAUUCUUGGACUAUGAUGGUACGAUUGUACCUCAAUCAUCUAUAGUUAAAUCUCCUAGUGCUGAAGUCAUUCAUUUCUUGAAUGCUCUCUCCAAUGAUCCCAAGAAUACAGUCUUUAUUGUUAGCGGCCGAGGUAGAAGUUCCUUGUGUGAAUGGCUUGAACCAUGCGAGAGGCUUGGGCUGGCUGCUGAACAUGGUUAUUUCAUAAGAUGGAAUAAAAGCUCAGAUUGGGAAUGCAUGACUGCUGAUACUGAGUGGAAACAAAUUGUUGAACCUGUAAUGAAACAAUACACUGAUGCAACUGAUGGCUCCUCAAUAGAAACUAAAGAGAGUGCCUUGGUUUGGCACCACCAGGAUGCAGACCCUGACUUUGGCUCCUGCCAGGCAAAGGAAUUGCUUGAUCACUUGGAAAAUGUUCUUGCAAAUGAACCAGCAGUUGUGAAGAGAGGCCAGCAAAUUGUUGAAGUCAAGCCACAAGGAGUGACCAAAGGGUUGGCUGCAGAGAAGGUUCUUUUAAUGAUGGUUAAUGGGGGGAGGCCACCAGAUUUUGUGAUGUGUAUUGGAGAUGAUAGAUCAGAUGAAGACAUGUUUGAGGGCAUUAUAAAAAUGGUUUCUGGCUUGUCCAUUUCUACAGCCCCAGAAAUGUUUGCAUGCACCGUUGGUCGAAAACCGAGCAGAGCAAGAUAUUACCUUGAUGAUACUGCUGAUGUUGUGAGGUUGCUUCAAGGCCUAGCCACUGCAUCAAAUCCAAAGCCAAGACAGAUUGCCGAAUUCCAAGUUGCUUUCGACACAGUAAUAUGACAGAGCGCAAAUAGGGUUUUGUGCCACCUGUACAUUGUUCUGCAUUCAGUGUUCUCUCCCUUCUGAUCAAUGAGGUAUAAGUUCCAUAAUCAAUUUAACAUGAAUUUGGUAAACAGCUUGACUCAAGCAUAUACUCUGCUUUCCAAGCCAUGCUGUUGGUGGGUUACAAUUAGUUUUUCGCAGCCAUUCCAAACAGCUGCGUUGAAUGAUCAAGAAGCGCCAUUGGCUUGUAUAGGUACUAUUAACUUUCUAAGUAUAAUGUAAGUUUGGUUUUUCACCUUGCGGGACUUAUUUAUUCUAACUUUAGAGCAGCAGGCUAAUUUAGCCAUAGAUUAUUUUCAGUAAAAGAGUGAUGCAAUGAAAGGGGUUUGGUCAAUAGUUAUAGUACAGAUCUUGAGUCCAAAAUUGUGUGGUGGACAUGGCAGGGUGUGGGGCUGGCAUUUUAAGUGUGAGAUUCUGCUAAAUGAGUACUCUAGCUUCAAAGCUUUAAAGUGCUUCAAUAUUUGCAAUUUUUGUAUACCCAUGUGAAUAUUGAUGGAGUUUGGAGUUUAAUUAUGUUACGCUAACAUUGUACUAAACCUUGUGAAUGCCACAAAGCAGCUUCGGAUUUUUCUUUUAGAUAAGAAAAAUUUGUAGUCACUACUUGACUUGCAAACCGCAUAGGAUAGGUGGAUAUGUAAAUUGUAUUAGGAUGAUUUUGUGCAAUAGGUUUAAUUAGAUUUGUUACAUUUAA